AUUAAACGCUGGCGGCAUGCCUUACACAUGCAAGUCGAACGGCAGCACGGGGGCAACCCUGGUGGCGAGUGGCGGACGGGUGAGUAAUACAUCGGAACGUGCCCUGGAGUGGGGGAUAACGUAGCGAAUGUUACGCUAAUACCGCAUAUUCUGUGAGCAGGAAAGCAGGGGAUCGCAAGACCUUGCGCUCUGGGAGCGGCCGAUGUCGGAUUAGCUAGUUGGUGGGGUAAAGGCCUACCAAGGCGACGAUCCGUAGCGGGUCUGAGAGGAUGAUCCGCCACACUGGGACUGAGACACGGCCCAGACUCCUACGGGAGGCAGCAGUGGGGAAUUUUGGACAAUGGGCGAAAGCCUGAUCCAGCCAUGCCGCGUGAGUGAAGAAGGCCUCGGUUGUAAG
rnacentral:rRNA from 1 species